rnacentral:misc_RNA from 1 species
UUGUGUGUUUCCAAUAGUCACCACGCUGGGCAGGCGGGUUUGGACUGCACAGCCGGCUUUGUCGCACCGAAGACGCUGCCCCGUCUUCGAGAUAUAUUAAUCGACGUCACAGCUUGUCACGUUUAUGAGACCUAUAGUGUGACAUCAUUUAUUUUUUACAUUUAGUAAAUAGAUAUGUAGUUCAAAUAUCAUGUUCUAUUACUAAAAAUUAACCUAACCGGCCACAUCAACUCAACGACCCACAGUAGACUUAACUAUGGCUAUACUUAUAGCUAUUAAAAUAUAAGACUGCAAAUCCUUAAAGAAAUACCAAAGAACUUAGUACUACCGUCCUAAUUAGUAGUAUUUUAUUCAUCGUAGCUAUAAUAGCGGUAAGUUAGCGUAAUUCCCAGCAAAUCACAUCUCUACCGAGUCUUACUAACUUCGAGU